rnacentral:rRNA from 1 species
UACGGGGGGGGUUAGCGUUGUUCGGAAUUACUGGGCGUAAAGGGCUCGUAGGCGGCCAACUAAGUCAUACGUGAAAUCCCUCGGCUUAACCGGGGAACUGCGUCUGAUACUGGAUGGCUUGAGUUCGGGAGAGGGAUGCGGAAUUCCAGGUGUAGCGGUGAAAUGCGUAGAUAUCUGGAGGAACACCGGUGGCGAAGGCGGCAUCCUGGACCGAUACUGACGCUGAGGAGCGAAAGCCAGGGGAGCAAACGGG